GUGGGUAUAGCUCAACAGUAGAAUGUGUGCUUAGCAUGCAUGAGGUCCUGGGUUCAAUCCCCAGUGCCUCCA
rnacentral:tRNA from 1 species